rnacentral:rRNA from 1 species
UACGAAGGGUGCAAACGUUGCUCGGAAUCAUUGGGCGUAAAGCGCACGUAGGCGGCUUGCCAAGUCGGACGUGAAAUCCCUCAGCUCAACUGAGGACGUGCAUCCGAAACUGGCGAGCUUGAGUACUGAAGAGGAUCGCGGAAUUCCCGGUGUAGAGGUGAAAUUCGUAGAUAUCGGGAGGAACACCGGUGGCGAAGGCGGCCUUCUGGACAGUGACUGACGCUGAGACACGAAAGCGUGGGGAGCAAACAGG